GUAACUUUCAGUUUUGGUCAAUUUUGGCGGCGCCGGUGGACAAAAGCAGUAGUGUUUAGCCUGAAAGAAGACCACAUUUCCCAUGAGGACCAGCGAACCAGUAGACCUGCUGCAUUUGGAGUGAACUACAUUUCUGUUUCCAGUGGCUGUGAAGGAUGGAUAGCGAUGAGGUAAUAAUCUAGUUGUAGCAAAACAAUGUCAUAUGACGAUGUUGAAAAUAAGAAAUGUUUAACUUUGGUUUUGUACCGUAUUCUGACACGAUCCGCACCCUCCCAACCUCACGCGACGAUUGUUUGCGUGGCGUUGUUCCAAACACAUGAUACAAACCGCCCUCAGGCCAUGACAGUGGAGUCAGUCAACUAGUUGUAAGUCGAAAUACCAUCAGAAAAGUUGUGAAAAUAUUUUACGAAGGCUAGAAGGUUACCUAGUGCUGUUUUAAAGGGGGAGUCAGCCCCCCAUUU